GUGGCAACAUAGGAAGAUAUGUUGGUAAUAAGGAUGGGGAUUCUUGUUGGGGCAUGCGGCUAUCAGUAAACAGAAGAGAGCAAAAUCUCAUCAUGAGGCUUUCACUAGAGGGACAUAAGAUUGUAAGCAAGCAACAGGUAAAGAGUAAUUAAAGGGACACCACACUUGGAUGAAGAUGCACCAGUGGUGGAGGAGGAAAAGAGGAAGUGAUUCACAGUCAUAAGGUCUUAGAAAAACUUGAAACACAGGAAGUCAUUUCUCCGAUAAAUCGCGUGAGUGAUACCAGGGAAGAAUUUCCACUCUCCUCUUCAAGGAAUCAUGUAUGACUGGAGGAAAUGAUCAGACAUUGAAAAUUUAAUAUUUUUUGCAUUUUAAUAUUGAAAUGUAAUCUGAAGAUUUCUGUUACUUUGUAUUAAAAUAAUUAUUAAUUGUG